UACGUAGGGGGCAAGCGUUGUCCGGAAUCAUUGGGCGUAAAGCGCGUGUAGGCGGCUAGGUAAGUCUGCUCUGAAAGCCCGGGGCUCAACCCCGGGAGGCGGGUGGAUACUGUCUAGCUCGAGUCCGGAAGAGGAGUGUGGAAUUCCUGGUGUAGCGGUGAAAUGCGCAGAUAUCAGGAGGAACACCGAUGGCGAAGGCAGGUCUCUGGGCCAUAACUGACGCUGAGAAGCGAAAGCAUGGGGAGCGAACAGG
rnacentral:rRNA from 1 species